GCCAAUUAUUGUUGGGGAAUUUGCUAUUGAGAAACUUGUAGAUAACAUUCUAGAAGGAGAUGAUAAUGGGGACUGUCCAGACCAGUUUCAGCUUGUGAAAAAUCUGGUGGAAAGAAUUGGUUAUGAAAUAAAAAUGGUGAGAAUUACACAGAGAGUGGUUAACACUUAUUUUGCAAGGGUGUAUUUUAGCAAGCCAGGAGNNNNAUUCUAAGUGUAGAUGCACGGCCGUCUGAUGCCAUUAAUGUGGCAAACAGAUGCAAGGCCCCG
rnacentral:misc_RNA from 1 species